rnacentral:rRNA from 1 species
UACGGGGGGUCCUAGCGUUGUUCGGAAUCACUGGGCGUAAAGCGUUUGUAGGUGGCUUUGUAAGUUAAAUGUGAAAGCCUGGGGCUUAACCUCAGAAGUGCAUUUAAUACUGCAGAGCUUGAGUAUGAGAGAGGAAGGUGGAAUACCUGGUGUAGUGGUGAAAUACGUAGAUAUCAGGUGGAACAUCGGCGGCGAAAGCGGCCUUCUGGCUUAAUACUGACACUGAAAAACGAAAGCGUGGGGAUCAAACAGG